GACGAACUGUCCUAACGUUGUUCGGAAUCACUGGGCUUAAAGGGCGCGUAGGCGGUCCGACACGUCAGGGGUGAAAUCCUGCAGCUUAACUGCAGAAGUGCCUUUGAUACUGUCGGUCUGGAGGGAGAUAGGGGUGUGCGGAACUUCCAGUGGAGCGGUGAAAUGCGUUGAUAUUGGAAGGAACGCCGGAGGCGAAAGCGGCGCACUGGAUCUCUUCUGACGCUGAGGCGCGAAAGCUAGGGGAGCAAACGGG
rnacentral:rRNA from 1 species